rnacentral:rRNA from 1 species
GACGAACGCUGGCGGCGUGCUUAACACAUGCAAGUCGAACGGUGAAGCGCCUUCCUUUUUGGUGGGUGUGGAUGAGUGGCGAACGGGUGAGUAACACGUGAGUAACCUGCCCCCUUCUUCUGGAUAACCGCAUGAAAGUGUGGCUAAUACGGGAUAUUCUGGGUCUGUCGCAUGAUGGGUCUGGGAAAGAUAUUGUUUCGGUGGGGGAUGGGCUCGCGGCCUAUCAGCUUGUUGGUGGGGUGAUGACCUACCAAGGCGGUGACGGGUAGCCGGCCUGAGAGGGUGGACGGUCACACUGGGACUGAGACACGGCCCAGACUCCUACGGGAGGCAGCAGUGGGGAAUAUUGCACAAUGGGCGCAAGCCUGAUGCAGCGACGCCGCGUGAGGGAUGGAGGCCUUCGGGUUGUGAACCUCUUUCGCCAGUGAAGCAGGCCUGCCUCGUUUGUGGGUGGGUUGACGGUAGCUGGAUAAGAAGCGCCGGCUAACUACGU